rnacentral:tRNA from 1 species
GCGGGUAUGGUGGAAUUGGUAGACACGCUAGAUUUAGGAUCUAGUGCCGUGAGGCGUGUGAGUUCGACUCUCUCUACCCGCA